rnacentral:rRNA from 1 species
UAAACUAGGAUUAGAUACCCUAUUAUUAUAAAUGUGAAAAUAAUAAAACCAAAUUAGUAUUAGUUAUGUUCUUGAAAAUUAAAAAAUUUGGCGGUAUUUUAGUCUUUUCAGAGGAAUCUGUCCUGUAAUUGAUAGUCCACGAUGAAUUUUACUUUAUUUAUUAGUUUACAUAUCGUCGUAGUUUGAAUAUUUUAAUAGAAUAAGUAAUUUUCAGGAUUUUUAAUUAAAAAUUAAGUCAGAUCAAGAUGUAGUUGAUAGUAAAGUAGAGAUGGAUUACUAUAAAUUUAUUUAAGAAUAAUUUUUUUAAAAGGAAUUUGAAUAUGGAUUUGAAAGUAAUUUUUAAUAAAUUUUUUUUUAAUGAUUAUAGCUCUAAGAUAUGCACACAUCGCCCGUCGCUCUUAA